AGCGGAGGAACAUGUGGUUUAAUUCGAUGAUACGCGAGGAACCUUACCUGGGCUUAAAUGUACGAUGCAUGAGGUGGAAACACUUCUUUUCUUCGGAACUUUGUACAAGGUGCUGCAUGGUUGUCGUCAGCUCGUGCCGUGAGGUGUCGGGUUAAGUCCCAUAACGAGCGCAACCCCUAUCGUUAGUUGCUAGCAGGUAAUGCUGAGGACUCUAGCGAGACUGCCACCGUAAGGUGAGAGGAAGGUGGGGAUGACGUCAAAUCAGCACGGCCCUUAUGUCCAGGGCUACACACGUGUUACAAUGGUCGGUACAAAGGGCAGCUACCUGGUGACAGGAUGCCAAUCCCUAAAGCCGAUCCCAGUUCGGAUUGGAGUCNNCAACCCGACUCCAUGAAGUUGGAUUCGCUAGUAAUCGCGCAUCAGCCAUGGCGCGGUGAAUACGUUCCCGGGCCUUGUACACACCGCCCGUCAAACCAUGGAAGCUGGGGGUGCCUGAAGUCUGUGACCGUUAAGGAGCGGCCUAGGGUAAAACUAGUAANCUGGGGUUAAGUCGUAACAAGGUAACCGUA
rnacentral:rRNA from 1 species